rnacentral:rRNA from 1 species
CGGGGUGAGUAAUGCUUGGGAAUCUGGCUUAUGGAGGGGGAUAACUACGGGAAACUGUAGCUAAUACCGCGUAAUAUCGAAAGAUUAAAGUGCGGGACCGCAAGGCCGCAUGCCAUAAGAUGAGCCCAAGUGGGAUUAGGUAGUUGGUGGGGUAAAGGCCUACCAAGCCGACGAUCUCUAGCUGGUCUGAGAGGAUGACCAGCCACACUGGAACUGAGACACGGUCCAG